rnacentral:rRNA from 1 species
AACGGAGGAGACGAGCGUUAUCCGGAAUUACUGGGCGUAAAGCGCGUGUAGGCGGAAGUGUAAGUCUUUUGUGAAAGCUCCUGGCUAAACUGGGAGAGGUCGAAAGAUACUGCACAUCUGGAGUAUGGGAGAGGGGGGUGGAAUUCCGGGUGUAGUGGUGAAAGGCGUAGAGAUCCGGAGGAACACCAGUGGCGAAGGCGGCACCCGGGCCCAAGACUGACGCUAAGACGCGAAAGCAUGGGGAGCGAACGGG